rnacentral:rRNA from 1 species
UACGUAGGGGGCUAGCGUUGUCCGGAAUCAUUGGGCGUAAAGAGCGUGUAGGCGGUCCGGUAAGUCCGCUGUGAAAGUCGGGGGCUCAACCCUCGAAUGCCGGUGGAAACUAGCGGGCUUGAGUGUGGCAGAGGGGGGUGGAAUUCCACGUGUAGCAGUGAAAUGCGUAGAGAUGUGGAGGAACACCGAUGGCGAAGGCAGCCCCCUGGGCUAACACUGACGCUCAUGCACGAAAGCGUGGGGAGCAAACAGG